rnacentral:rRNA from 1 species
GAUGAACGCUGGCGGCGUGCUUAACACAUGCAAGUCGAACGGAAAGGCUCCUGCUUGCAGGGGUACUCGAGUGGCGAACGGGUGCGUAACACGUGGGUGAUCUGCCCUGCACUUCGGGAUAAGCCUGGGAAACUGGGUCUCAUACCGGAUAGGACGAUGGUUUGGAUGCCGGUUUGGAAAGUUUUUUCGGUGUGGGAUGAGCUCGCGGCCUAUCAGCUUGUUGGUGGGGUAGUGGCCUACCAAGGCGUCGACGGGUAGCCGGCCUGAGAGGGUGUACGGCGACAUUGGGACUGAGAGACGGCCCAGACUCCUACGGGAGGCAGCAGUGGGGAAUAUUGCACAAUGGGCGCAAGCCUGAUGCAGCGCCGCCGCGUGGGGGAUGACGGCCUUCGGGUUGUAAACUCCUUUCGCUAGGGACGAAGCGCAAGUGACGGUACCUGGAGAAGAAGCACCGGCUAACUACGUG